CUCCUUUUGGGGUUUUCUACUGUGAGCCUAAGACAUGGCUGUUCUAGCCAAUUUCAGCAGCUUUGCCAGCAUGGUGAACUGACCCCAGCCAGCAAUUACACACCUAUUAGCCACUCAUUCCCUCAUACUGGGUCAAGAUAAAGACAGUCUAAUGAGUGAAAAGGAAAAACAGAAGAAAAAAAGAAAACCCAAUAUAUGCAGAAGAAAUACAUUGCCAGCAGGCCAAUCCCUAACUACUCUCUGAGAAACAACUAUUUUGGAAAAUCUACCCACCUAGUUUUAUUUUUGAUCCUCUUGCCAAACCCCAGCCUCCUCUCUGGGGAUAGAAUGAGAAGCACAGAAGACCAUGAUUCUGUACAAGACUGUUCAUAAAGAGCUAAAAGUUUUGUGUAUUAACUUUGUUCUUACCAGAAGUCUAAAAUACAUCACUACCCAGGCUACUACGAAGAAAACUGACUCCAUCUCAACAGGUGUAGUAUAGCUAGUAACUUUUGUUUUAGAAGAGAAGACAGCACAGAAGAACAUGUAAGGAAUACAAUCAUGUUUGAUAACUACUGUAUCUCCUACUUUUCAGGAAGCUCUUAUACUAAAAGCAAAGCAUUUCCUUUUCAAUAAUGUCUUGGAAAUAUACAGCAGUCUUCGCUGAAAUUAAAGGAUUGAUCAAGCUCUCUUUUGAAGUUAUGGGGCUGAAAAAUCUUUAAUUGCAAACCUUCUUUAAGUCAGUGUUUGCCACAUGGACUUAUAUUCUUCACCCAAAGGCAGUUAGAUAAGUAUUACUGAAGAUGUCUAAAGCAAAUCAGGAGAUGAGUUUUCCUGCCAAGAGCUUUCUGGUAGACCUCAUAGUAGUUAUACAUCUGACACAAAGCUUGAAAUAUAUUCACACUGUUCCAGAAAAAAAAUGGUGUUUGGAGGACAAAAUGGUGACCGAAUGAGGAGCAGAAAGGAUUUUUGAGUUCCCUAUUCAAAAAUGAAAUCCUGACUCCAGGGAAAUCAGUGGCAAAGUACAUCAACUUCACUAAGCGAAGAAUUUCAUUCAACCAGAUCCCUAUUCUUCAGUCUCUCAGUUUGACACAGUAUAUCCUUAUGUCAGGAAUUCAGAAUGGAACAUUUGUUUUCUGCUCUUUGCUAUCUGAUUCUAUCAAAUCUUGCAUAGAAGUUGGAUCAAAUUGUAUUGUAUGACUGACAUCAAGGCAAAUUACAGAUAUUUCCAGAAAGAGAAGCCAGUGCAGAUAACUCAUUUUCAUGCUGACCAAGGCUUUAAUGUCACUGGAAGUCGUCAGAAUGAAUGUCACUAGAGCUGAGCUAGCAAACUGAAG